rnacentral:lncRNA from 10 species
UUUGUUCACAUAUUUUGGUUUUUAGUUCUGUAAAGCUACAAACAAACUUCAUUUAUAGAGAUAUUUUAGAGCUGUAUAUUCUGUUUUCAACUCUUGGCCAAACCAUUUCGUGGUGUUCUAUACAAUUUUAUGGUGUUUUAGUACAGUGGUUCCCCAAUUUUUUUGGCACCAGGGACAGAUUUCAUGGAAGACAAUUUUUCCACAGUGGGGUGGAAGAUGGUUUUGGGAUGAAACUGUUCCACCUCAGAUCCUCAGGCAUUAGUUAGAUUCUCAUAAGGAGCGCCCAACCUAGAUCCCUCACAUGCACAGUUCACAAUAGGGUUGGCGCUCCCAUGAGAAUCUCAUGCUGCUGCUGACCUGACAGGAGGCAGAGCUCAGGCAGUACUGCUUGCUCGCUGCUCCCCUCCUGCUGUGCAGCCCAGUUCCUAACAGGCCAGGGACUGGUACUAGUCCAUGGCCCAGGCACUGGGGACCCCUGUUUUAUUAUACUGCUGUCAUAUCUGAUCUAAAUGCAAAUGUUCAUAUGCUAAAAAGGGAAUUUAUGUUUGUUUUAAAACACUAAGAGCAUAUGAAGAUAUCAUUGGUAAAAAAUACUAUAUUAACAUAAUUGGUACAGUUUUCAUAAAUGCUAAAACAAUAUUGGAGCAGAUUAUUACUAACAUUUAUCAAUAGUUUCAAAUUUGGUUCCAAGAACAGAUAAUGUGGUGAAAGUGUUAAGCCCUUCUGCUCAUGCAGAAGUAUAAUGAUGUCUCAAUACUGGGGUUCCUUGAAAAAUCAAUUAUGUCUUUGAUAAAGCCAGGUUUAAUAAAGAGAUAAUGGUGCA